UUGGAAAACAUUGAGAAGUUUGUGUGGCCAAAGAGUAGCAGGAAAUGAGGUUAGAAACAAUAGGGACAGGGUUUAGUGUCAUAAAGGUCAAGGUAAAACAUUUUGGUUUAUUCUGAACACUAGGCAAAACCUGAAACUCGAGAAUGAUAUGAUUGAGUUUAUACUUUAUAAGAAUGACUCAAGGAUGAAGGUAGGCUGCCACAUGGUAGAAAGGUGAAAGGUAGAACCAGAGAGACCAGAUAGGAUGCUUCUGCCAUGGUCUAGGUUGGAGAUGGUGGUGGUAGCAAGGUAAGAAUUUCAAGGAAACAUGGUGUAGAACAUACAAGAAAAGCUGCCCAGAUACAGGAUGGUCUGAAUCCUUCUGAAGGGGGCUCUGUAUUAGAAAGAGUUUGGUCUAAACUCUAAAACAGUGGUUCUUGACCUCUUUGGGGUAUUCAAUGAGCCUUUCACAGGGGCCAUCUAAGACCAUCAGAAAACACAGAUAAUUUGCAUUAUGACUCAUAACAGUAACAGAAUUACAAUUAUGAAGUAGCAACGAAAAUAAUUUUAUGGUUGGGGGGGGCGGUGUCACCACAACACCAGGAACUGUGUUAAAGGGUUCCAGCAUUAGGUUGAGAACCAGUGCUCUGGUUCUACCUUGCCCUUUGUAGCAUGCAGAUGUGGAAUUCCUUCAGUUUUCCAAAAUGAGUGACCUGCUGCUUCUUCAGGAAAAACCCAGAUGGGACAGGGCAAGAACCCCAGGGUUUCCUAGGUCAGAGUUUAGUAAAACUAUUUUGUAAGGAGUCCAAGAGUCAAUAUGUUAGUGCUCACAGGACAUACGCAUGGACUUUGCUGUAAUGAGUCAACUCUAUCAAAGUAGUAGUGCCAAGGCAGCCACAAGAAAGUGUGAUUGUAUUUCUGUAAAACUUCACUGAUAAAAAACACUAGCAGCAUGCCAGGUUUGGCCACUUUGGCCCACGUUCUAGUUCCAGAGCCACUGGUUCUCAACAGUUUUACUAAGCUGAAGAAAUUCCACAUCUGCCUACCCCAUUACAUUUCUCUUAGUGAACAAGAAGAAUGUUUGUACAAGAUACAAACCACUCUUAAUUAUCUAACAAAAAGCAGUCUGGGCUUCCUUCUAUCAUGCAAACCACUGGAAUUUGCAAUGCAAAUAAUUCUUGGGCUUUUCUUACAUAAAGGUUGAAGCAAACUGGGGCUGACAAAAGCAGAAAUUCUUCAGAGACUUCAGGGUGCUUUCUUAGCAAUGGGUUCAAGACUCCCUAAGAAAUGGAGGAGAACAGAGAGGGAAGUGGACAAGGAGCAACAGCAUACUACUCUUGGUUCAGGGUUAUGGACUGUCCAGAUCAUGCCUCCCACCAGCAGUGGCUUUCGGUUUUCCUGAGCCUCCAUGAAGGAAACAGCCUGCUUCCUCCCAGAGCUCUAAAUCCAAAGAGAUUCUCCAGGUGCCUGGAUUCCAGAAAGAAGGAAAACACCAUUGUAUUUUUCCCGAGAAGUUUACAGGCUCUGGCUGCCGAACUCCAGGACUUCGAGAGCUACUUAUGGCUAUAAAGGGUACACCUCAACUACAUGUGCCCCUCUUCCUCAUAUCUCCUAUGUCCUUCCUGAAAUUCAGGGUCCCUUCCUGCUGCCACCCAGGAGUCAGAGACAACCUGGCUUCAGGCUUGUGCUGUGGACCUCUCACCAACUAUGUGGCAUAAAAUCUCUCCCUUCACUUGAGACCUAUAAAAAGGGAUCCCCCACUCUGUCUGACAGCAUGCUGCCUGCCUGUCUGUCCAUGGUAUUCAUAGUUCUUCUAAUAAACACAAUGAGACAAUCAGCCUUAGUGUCCCCAUGAACCCAGACCUAGAAUCUUUCACUUUCUUCUCUUGAGGAGGAAGGUGAAGUCAAGAGGCUUAUAAGUAGGGGAGGCACACUCUUACACCGUCUCUGUGGCAAAGGUCCUUCCUGACUUGAAGGAAAUGACCAGUAAUGUGAUCCUAAGAGAUCAAAUACAUGAACUAGAGAUGGUACAUCAGGCAUGUGUAGAUAGAAAAAAUGACUGCUUCUAUUUGUUCACUGGCCUCUUGGUGUCAUAAAAACAUGGCAACUGCACAGAGAAAAAGAUGAAAACAACCACACAAAGAAAUGUGCCUUUCAGAGUGCAACUGUGAUGGGUGACUGCUCAUUAAAGACUUAAUCAAAACAAACCCUGCUAAGCAGGUAGGACACUAAGUGCUACCUGCUGGAUUAACCCUGGGCUGGGCCCUGAGUUCUGAGAGUUCAAAGUUCCUUUGAAGUUAACAUAUUAGGAAAUGACUUUCCAAGUCAGAUCACCAUUAGUUCUAGAUUUUUCCUAAUGGCUAAGUGGCAGAAAAGUUGACUAAUUAUUUAAGUUUUAACUAGGAAAGAAAAGGAAAAUAAUGUUCUUUAUGAUGAACACAAUAGCAAAAAUAUAUCCCAGGGCUGGGGUGAGGGUGGAGCUCAGUUUGGUAGAGUGCUUGCUUAGCAUUCAUUAGGUCCUGGGUUCAAUCCUCAGCACUGCAUAAACCAGCCACGAGGGUGUACACUUGUAAUCCCAGCACUAUAAUUCCUCAUGGGGGAUCACAAGUUCAAAGUCAUCCUAUGAGGUUGGAGACAAAUCUAUGUGAAGCCUUCUCAUAAAAAACGGAUGCUCAUGAUAAUGCCCAAUAACCAAUUAGGAAAGAGUAUGGAAGCAAAUUGCAUUUGCCAAGGGUGAAUUUUUUUCUUCUGAGUAGUUGAUUCCUUUCACAUGUUCAUAGCAGUUCUAUUCCUUAAUGUAGCCCUACAUCUUAAUAAUCU
rnacentral:lncRNA from 1 species